AGGGUUUGAUCCUGGCUCAGAACGUACGCUGGCGGCACGCCUAACACAUGCAAGUCGAACGAAGUAGCAAUACUUAGUGGCAGACGGGUGAGUAACAUGUGGGUAUCUGCCCUUUGGCCUGGAAUAACACGAGGAAACUUGUGCUAAUACCGGAUAAGUCUUUACGGAGAAAGCUUUAUGCACCAUUGGAUGAGCCCGCACUUGAUUAGUUUGUUGGUGGGGUAAUGGCCUACCAAGACUGUGAUCAAUAGCUGAUUUGAGAGGAUGAUCAGCCACAUUGGGACUGAGACACGGCCCAAACUCCUACGGGAGGCAGCAGUGGGGAAUCUUGCACAAUGGAGGAAACUCUGAUGCAGCGAUGCCGCGUGAGUGAAGAAGGCCCUUGGGUUGUAAAGCUCUUUCGUCGGGGAAGAAAAUGACUGUACCCGAAUAAGAAGGUCCGGCUAACUUCGUGCCAGCAGCCGCGGUAAUACGAAGGGACCUAGCGUAGUUCGGAAUUACUGGGCUUAAAGAGUUCGUAGGUGGUUGAAAAAGUUGGUGGUGAAAUCCCAGAGCUUAACUCUGGAACUGCCAUCAAAACUUUUCAGCUAGAGUUUGAUAGAGGAAAGCAGAAUUUCUAGUGUAGAGGUGAAAUUCGUAGAUAUUAGAAAGAAUACCAAUUGCGAAGGCAGCUUUCUGGAUCAUUACUGACACUGAGGAACGAAAGCAUGGGUAGCGAAGAGGAUUAGAUACCCUCGUAGUCCAUGCCGUAAACGAUGUGUGUUAGACGUUGGAAAUUUAUUUUCAGUGUCGCAGCGAAAGCGAUAAACACACCGCCCUGGGGAGUACGACCGCAAGGUUAAAACUCAAAUGAAUUGACAGGGACCCGCACAAGUAGUGGAGCAUGUGGUUUAAUUCGAAGAUACGCG
rnacentral:rRNA from 1 species